rnacentral:lncRNA from 1 species
AUGAACCGUGAACUUCCUGAUGUUCAACCUGGUUUUAGAAAAGGCAGAGGAACCAGGCAUCAAACUGCCAACAUCUGCUGGAUCAUGGAAAAAACAAGAGACUUCCAGAAAAACAUCUGUUUCUGCUUUAUUGACUAUGCCAAAGCUUUUGACGGUGUGGAUCACAAGAAACUGUGGAAAAUUCUGAAAGAGAUGGGAAUAGCAGCCCAUCUGACCUGCCUCUUGAGAAAUCUGUAUGCAGGUCAGGAAGCAACAGUUAGAACUGGACAUGGAACAACAGACUGGUUCCAAACAGGAAAAGGAGUACGUCAAGGCUGUAUAUUGUCACCCUGCUUAUUUAACUUUUAUGCAGAGUACAUCAUGAGAAAUGCUGGGCUGGAAGAAGCACAAGCUGGAAUCAAGAUUGCUGGGAGAAAUAUCAAUAACCUCAGAUAUGCAGAUGACACCACCCUUAUGGCAGAAAGUGAAGAGGAACUCAAAAGCCUCUUGAUGAAAGUGAAAGAGGAGAGUGAAAAAGUUGGCUUAAAGCUCAACAUUCACCAAACGAAGACAAUGGCAUCUGGUCCCAUAACUUCAUGGAAAAUAGAUGGGGAAACAGUGGAAACAGUGUCAGACUUUAUUUUUUUGGACUCCAAAAUCACUGCAGAUGGUGACUGCAGCCAUGAAAUUAAAAGACGCUUACUCCUUGGAAGAAAAGUUAUGAGCAACCUAGAUAGUAUAUUCGAAAGCAGAGAUAUUACUUUGCAGACUAAGGUCCGUCUAGUCAAGGCUAUGGUUUUUCCAGUAGUCAUGUAUGGGUGUGAGAGUUGGACUGUGAAGAAGGCUGAGCGCCGAAGAAUUGAUGCUUUUGAGCUGUGGUAUUGGAGAAGACUCUUGAGAGUCCCUUGGACUGCAAGGAGAUCCAACCAGUCCAUUCUGAAGGAGAUCCACCCUGGGAUUUCUUUGGAAGGAAUGAUGCUAAAGCUGAAACUCCAGUACUUUGGCCACCUCAUGCAAAGAGUUGACUCAUUGGAAAAGACUGUGAUGCUGGGAGGGAUUGGGGGCAGGAGAAGAAGGCGACGACAGAGGAUAAGAUGGCUGGAUGGCAUCACUAACUCGAUGGACAUGAGUCUGAGUGAACUCCGGGAGUUGGUGAUGGACAGGGAGGCCUGGCGUGCUGUGAUUCAUGGGGUCGCCAAGAGUCGGACACGACUGAGCGACUGA